AGUGAACGCUGGCGGUAGGCCUAACACAUGCAAGUCGAACGGCAGCACAGUAAGAGCUUGCUCUUACGGGUGGCGAGUGGCGGACGGGUGAGGAAUACAUCGGAAUCUACUUUUUCGUGGGGGCUAACGUAGGGAAACUUACGCUAAUACCGCAUACGACCUACGGGUGAAAGCAGGGGAUCUUCGGACCUUGCGCGAAGGAAUGAGCCGAUGUCGGAUUAGCUAGUUGGCGGGGUAAAGGCCCACCAAGGCGACGAUCCGUAGCUGGUCUGAGAGGAUGAUCAGCCACACUGGAACUGAGACACGGUCCAGACUCCUACGGGAGGCAGCAGUGGGGAAUAUUGGACAAUGGGCGCAAGCCUGAUCCAGCCAUACCGCGUGGGUGAAGAAGGCCUUCGGGUUGUAAAGCCCUUUUGUUGGGAAAGAAAAGCAGCAGGUUAAUACCCCGCUGUUCUGACGGUACCCAAAGAAUAAGCACCGGCUAACUUCGUG
rnacentral:rRNA from 1 species